AUUGAACGCUGGCGGCAUGCCUUACACAUGCAAGUCGAACGGCAGCACGGGUGCUUGCACCUGGUGGCGAGUGGCGAACGGGUGAGUAAAAUAUCGGAACGUACCUUAUUGUGGGGGAUAACGCAGCGAAAGCUGUGCUAAUACCGCAUAAUCCCUAAGGGGGAAAGCGGGGGACCGUAAGGCCUCGCGCAAUUAGAGCGGCCGAUACCUGAUUAGCUAGUUGGUGAGGUAAAGGCUCACCAAGGCAACGAUCAGUAGCUGGUCUGAGAGGACGAUCAGCCACACUGGGACUGAGACACGGCCCAGACUCCUACGGGAGGCAGCAGUGGGGAAUUUUGGACAAUGGGGGCAACCCUGAUCCAGCAAUGCCGCGUGAGUGAAGAAGGCCUUCGGGUUGUAAAGCUCCUUUGUCAGGGAAGAAACAGCAGCUCUAACACAGUUUGCGAAUGACGGUACCUGAAGAAUAAGCACCGGCUAACUACGUGCCAGCAGCCGCGGUAA
rnacentral:rRNA from 1 species